UUAAGGGUAAAGGGAUUUUACAGGAGGAGGAGUCCGUUGCAUCACUAAAAGAGGCAUCCGCUCGGGAGUCACAACAAGUGACGCAGCAAGUUCGUACCGUACCACCCACUGGUCCUCCGAAGCCAGCGGGAAAAAAAGGCGGUGCUUUUGUGCCUCGAUACCGGUCGACGCUCGCAACAAUGGUUGAUAUGUCCGAUAUGAAGGAUGGUGCUUUACGUGAAAUCGAUAUGGAUGAAAGUGUCUUCGGUAUUGAAUUCAAGUCACUUAUUACAAUUGAUGACUUGGAGGAGAUUUUUAGGCAUGAUCAACUAGGCGUCACUAACAUGCACUCAUACAUCCGGUUGUUGUAUGACAGAGUGUUGCGCGGGAAUCCAUUGUCUAACAGAUUCCGUUUCGUGUCUUCCGCC